UGAGCAUGCGCGAACAAUAAUGAUCCUUGUAACGAUACGAUCGUUACAACUUUCUUUCUUUUUGAAAUUUAAAUUUAUUCAUUACAUAUUUGUUGUACCGCCACUGCAUUUAUACGUGUCUCGAAGAAUUCAGAUUUGCAGAGUGGCACAUGAUUUUAUUCUAUCUUUUCUGCUUUUUCUGGUGAAUGGGAUAAGUCAUCAGAGUUGAGUUCUUGAUAUAGAUAUUUUUGGUAUUAAUUUUGAGAUUUAGUUAAUAUUUCAUAGUUUCUAUUGGUUUGGUGAAACUCAAUCAAAAAUUGAGUUUUUGGGUGAAGCCCAGAAUUUCGAUUUGAACAUAUAUUUCCAAGAUUGAACUUCGUUGACCAACAUCCAACUUCGAAGAAUCCAUCACAUCUGAAAACUUUGGUCAUAAGAACCUGGAAAUCCUUAUAUGGUGCUGUGACAGUAUCGUACCAAAUCAGAUGGUUCUUUCUGCAUAGGAGCACUUCACCUGGAUUUUAAUUGCUAAUGGAAGUAUUCUGCUAUGUAUUUUGUAAUUUCAUUCGAUAUCCAAUUUAUAUAAUUUCGUAUGCUCCAUUUCAUUUUGCAUUUGAGACAUUUCGCUUCGAAGCUAUUCAUAAUAAUUUUCAUUGUUGAAAUUCAAUUGUAAGCAGCUGUUAUUCAAUAUUUCACUCUUAACUUUUUAUUACAAUUUGAGCAAUUUAGUGGAUUAUUUCAUCUUAUUAAUAAAUCUCUGAAAGUGGA